rnacentral:misc_RNA from 1 species
CUCCGCCUCACCUGCUCACCACGAUACUCAAUGAUCAUUUCUCCCUCUUGAAUGUUUCGGCAUGCAAACAGGCCCCAUCCAUGUAUGCCAGAUUUACCAAAACAACUCGAUGACUUUCAGUUUUUUGCAAAUGGUAGAGCCGUUCCUUAAAUGAAGAGAAGACANGAACCUUCCAUUUCCUUAUAGGUGCUCAAGCUACUUAUUUCAUCUAAAGAAUGAUGUCUUGGUCCCAUCAGUAGGUGGAAUAUUGGCUCCUUUUCAGCCCUCUUAUUGUAUGAUCUUUUAAAAGCACAGCAUCUGGCAGCAGAGAGAGGCUCCUUGUUAGUCUCUGAGGUACAGGGUUCAGGAAGUUCCAUUCCCCUAGAUGAAACCAACCUUGAACCACUGAAACAUUCAUUCUGGUUCUGAUUCUGAAGCAAGCUUCUGGCAUCAAAAACCCCUGAAGCAGUACGUACAACUACUACAGAAUCUGGACUUGGUGUCCUGUGAAC